UUAAUGGAAAUGUUGUGCCUAUGAUAUCUUUAGCUUUACUCUAGAGUCUUAUGCCAUCUCCCAGCCCACUUCUAAACAGGUUCACGUCUCACUCUCAACUCCAGCGCCACUCAGUUCUAUUCUCAGUUCCUACUACCUUCAAAUUGUGUAUCGACCAACCCUCCUUGGACGACCCUUGUAGCACUGCUCAUUUCACGUGUCAAACACAAUGGCCCCACAAGGAGCGCCCCCACUCGGUCCGGCCCAUCUCUAUCUCAAUUGAAAUGCUUAAGAGGUUGAGGAACGGAUAUCCCCAGCACCAGUGGAUAGGGCUAAUUAAUUGAUGGACGAUGUCCUUGCUGGCCUCCGUCUCCAACUCAAGCUUGGAUCCCUGCCCUUUCUGGGGUUUUGUUGCAACAGUUGCAACUGUCAUAAUAUUGACUCAUUGCUGGAUGUAAUUAAUGGUGUUAAGACUCGCACGCCAUUUUAAUGCAAUCCAAUUGACAGGCAGCAUCCGUUUUGCGUUACUGCAUUUCCUCCAGUCCCGCCACCUCCCCCUUCCCCCCUUCAAUCAUUGAAGCCAUCUGGGGGAUAUUGAUUUCAAUUAUAAUGAUGUAACACAAUGGCCAAUGGAACCCCAAAGGCAUGUUAACUAAUUGUUAACCUACCGGUUUGCUGUUGCGAAUAUUAAACACUCGUAGUACCCGGUAGGAGCGGCGUACUAGAGGAAACUCCA